GGCGGGAGGCGGGAGGCGGGCCGGAAAGUUUGUCGGGCGGCCGAGGCGGGGACUCCGGCGGGGGAUGAGCGGCGGCCCGAGCGCCCCCAGCCCGCAAGGGAGUCGUGCUCGCCAUGGGGCGUCCCCAACUGCUCCUGCCCCUGUGUGCCUCUGUGUCUUUGCUGGGUGGCCUGACCUUCGGUUAUGAACUGGCAGUUGUAUCAGGUGCCCUGCUGCCCCUGCAGCUUGACUUCGGGCUUUCCUGCUUGGAGCAGGAGCUCCUGGUGGGCAGCCUGCUCCUGGGGGCUCUCCUUGCCUCCCUGGUGGGGGGCGUCCUCAUCGACCAGUAUGGCAGGAAACAAGCCAUCCUCGGCAGCAAUGUGGUGCUUCUGGCAGGCAGCCUGAGCCUCGGCCUGGCUGGCUCCCUGGCCUGGCUUGUCCUGGGCCGCUUGAUGGCUGGCUUUGCCAUCUCCCUCUCCUCCAUGGCCUGCUGUAUUUAUGUGUCAGAGCUGGUGGGGCCCCGGCAGCGGGGAGUGCUGGUGUCCCUCUAUGAGGCUGGCAUCACCCUGGGCAUCCUGCUCUCCUAUGCACUCAACUACGCAUUGGCUGGUUCCCCGGGGGGGUGGCGGCAUAUGUUCGGCUGGGCCGCAGCACCUGCUCUUCUGCAGUCCCUCAGCCUCUUCUGUCUCCCUGCUGGGACCACUGAGGCUGCAGCCCACAAGGACCUCAUUCCUCUCCAGGGAGGUGAGGCCACCAAGCUGGGGAGGCCAAGAUACUCCCUUCUGGACCUCUUCAGGGCCCGGGAUAACAUGCGAGGCCGGACCAUGGUGGGGCUGGGGCUGGUGAUUUUCCAGCAACUAACGGGGCAGCCCAACGUGCUGUGCUAUGCUUCUACCAUAUUCCACUCAGUCGGUUUCCGUGGGGGCUCCUCAGCUGUGCUGGCCUCUGUGGGACUCGGCGCCGUGAAGGUGGUGUCCACCCUGACGGCCCUGGGGCUGGUGGACCGAGCGGGCCGCAGGGCCCUGUUACUGGCUGGCUGUGCCCUCAUGGCCCUGUCGGUCAGCGGCAUCGGGCUCGUCAGCUUCGCCGCACCCAUGGACUCCAGCCCAAGUUGCCUGGCCCUACCCAACGCCAGCAGGCCGGUAGGCCUCUCUGGAGACUCGAGCCUGCCAGGGGCCGUCAUAAGUCCACUUCCACUGCCAGCGACCAGUGAGAACCAAGGGAAGCCAGUCCCCCCAACCUCUACGAAAAUCAAGCCUCAUCCCAGAGCUGGGAACCGCACAGCCCCUCCCCUGCCGGCCUUAGGCACUGCCGCCCCUGCGCCCCGUUCUGCCCCCGAGCUCGCCCUGCUGCACUGGACCGCGCUGGUCUGCAUGAUGGUCUUUGUGAGCGCCUUCUCCUUUGGGUUUGGACCAGUGACCUGGCUUGUCCUCAGCGAGAUCUAUCCCGUGGAGAUCCGAGGCAGAGCCUUCGCCUUCUGCAACAGCUUCAACUGGGCCAGCAACCUCCUUGUCAGCCUCUCCUUCCUCCACCUCAUCGGCACCAUCGGCUUGUCCUGGACCUUCCUGCUCUACGGGCUGACGGCUGUCCUCGGCCUGGGCUUCAUCUAUGCAUUUGUCCCUGAAACAAAAGGCCAGUCCUUGGCAGAGAUAGACCAGCAGUUCCAGAAGAGACGGUUCACCCUGAGCUUUGGCCACAGGCAGAGCUCCACCAGCAUCCCGUACACCCGCAUCGAGGUCUCUGCCACCUCUUGAGGAGUCCAUCUGCCUGGAAGAUGCUGGAACCAUGGCUUUAGCCGACAGUCUCCAGCUUCCUGCUUGCCUGGCUCCUACAGCACAAGGUCUCGGAGGUCCUGAGGAUCUUCAGCUGGUCCCAUUCAGCUAGUCAGGGCCUGAGGGGGAGGUUUCUGCUCACCCUCAGUUACCCAGGUCCCCAUCUUUGGGACAUUGUUAAGGGUCAGCCCCCGACGGGUGAGUCAGAUGGAGACUGAGCAAGGAGCUCAAGCCAGAAGUCACCAGAGGAAGGGCCUGGCAAGAGUGAGUUGCUGGAUGCUGAGGAAAAUGAAGAGCUAAAGCAGACCCAGGGAGCUGGUGUGGGACAACACUUCGUCAUCUGUGCCUGCUGCAAGCCCCCAGGACUCUGGCCUCUCAUCUUCUCUCCUCCUGUUCUAGAUGCUUCCCUCGUACCCAGUGGUGUGCGGGAGGCUCCUCCUACUACCUUGUGAGAGCCCAUUGUUAAGUUUUUGGGACUUUUGCCAACUGGUUGUUAAACACAGCCUUUUAAAGAUAUUAAAUUAUUGAAUAUUUCAAUAAAUUAUAUUAAAAGCAAAAGUAAUAAAUACUAAAACCUCCUCACUUCCUUGUUUUGCUACAUUUCACUAUCAUCUGUGCUCUUGAGGUUACUUGCAUAUAAUGUGUCUUAUGAGAGACACGGGAGAUCCUGAUUCUGCGUACAAGGCGUCAUGCCCAUGGGAGGUGACUUGGCAGCACAGGGAUGGGGAAACACUGCAAGGCAGGGCUUGACUUACUGUUUCCUUGAUGCUCCAGCCUUAAGAAUGUGAUGGAUAAAAUGUUAACAAUGCAAAUUAACCUUGCGAGUGUGUCUGUCAUGUCUGUAGCUGAGACACGGUGAGUGGCACUAAAAAUUGAGGGAAUAUUCUUUCACUCUGAACGCUAUUACCCAAUGCAACAAACAAGUUGCCCACAUCAUCGAUGAAGGUGUUCUGACCUACAUCUUCCUUGUUUUACUUUGUCUGACUCAUUAACGUCAACAAAAAUUUCAACCCACGUUCAUGUUGAAACUUCCCUCGCUCUGCAGAGACAGGAUGGGAUCUUUUGCUGAGUCGGAUUGUUGUCCAGCAUUUAUUCCUAGUCUGAUUUUGUCAAGUCGUGGCGAAAUUGCAGUGAUAGUUGGUUUUGGAUACAAGAAUUUGGCAAAAAAAAAAAAAAAAUCAACAAAAUCCAUCUGCGAGAAUGAAUUGGCUUAUAUAGAAUUUAUAAAGAAUAUUUACAACAGUGUGUUAUUAUUUAUAAAUUUGUAAAUUUAUAAAUUAUAAAUUUUUAAAUUUUGUGUAAUAAACACAUAAAAUCUAUACACACACACACACACUUGUUCUCCUGGAGAACAGUGGUUCAACACUGCCCAGCACGCCACUCCUUUUAUCUGUCCUUAUGGUGCCUUCAGAUCCAAAUCUGUCUACAGAGACCCCCAGGCCUCUCUCAAUUCCCCUUUCCUAUCAGCCUAGAGAAUGCUUAGACUAGUCUUAGAUUGGUCAGGAUCAUAAACUCAGCGGUCAGGCCGGGAAUGUAAAUGAUGGGAGCCCUGUGGUAAGACAGCAGGGAGGAGUGAGGUCUGUGGACACGGGCAAACACAGGCCCUCUCUAAAAGGGGAAGCUGCCCAAUUCCAGCUGGUGCCUGCCAUGUAGGAACAUGGGCCUAUCCGUGGCCUGACCAUCUGUAUUUUCAAGAAAAUCCAGAAAUUCAGACCUUGGUGCAAAAUUUCCUGAUUUAUUAAUAGUGGCAAUUGGUUCUUAAGUGAAAAAUAGCUUUUAAGCUCAACAGAACACGCCUGUGGCUAAAUCAUGACCUUCCGUUUGUGCCUCAGCUCUUGAAAGCUUUCCCUCUGAGAUACUCCUCUUCUCUGGAUUCUUGAGGCUCUCAGCUUAAUCUCUGUAAAGAGUCAUGGCUUUGGAAAUCAAUGCCAAGAAUAUUGAGUAGCCAAGCAUCAUGAAUUGAGUAAGUUGGAGGGGGUGUUAUUGAACACGGAGGAAGGCAUCAUGGAGGGAAGAAAUGGUUCAUAUGGCAAACACAGAACUGGCACAGUUAGGUGUGGGACUUGGUAAUGGCUCAUCUGUGUAUCAGGGAUGAUGCCAUUAACUAUUUAGAGAUGACAUAUAUCAAUCACUAGUUCCAAGCUGGGCCCA